UCGGGAUAGCUCAGCUGGUAGGCAGAGGACUGAAAAUCCUCGUGUCACCAGUUC
rnacentral:tRNA from 1 species